CCUACGGGAGGCUGCAGUGGGGAAUAUUGGACAAUGGGGGCAACCCUGAUCCAGCCAUGCCGCGUGUGUGAAGAAGGCCCUCGGGUUGUAAAGCACUUUCAGUGAGGAAGAACGCCUGGUGGUUAAUACCCAUCAGGAAAGACAUCACUCACAGAAGAAGCACCGGCUAACUCCGUGCCAGCAGCCGCGGUAAUACGGAGGGUGCGAGCGUUAAUCGGAAUUACUGGGCGUAAAGGGCGCGUAGGUGGCUUGAUAAGCCGGUUGUGAAAGCCCCGGGCUCAACCUGGGAACGGCAUCCGGAACUGUCAAGCUAGAGUGCAGGAGAGGAAGGUAGAAUUCCCGGUGUAGCGGUGAAAUGCGUAGAGAUCGGGAGGAAUACCAGUGGCGAAGGCGGCCUUCUGGACUGACACUGACGCUGAGGUGCGAAAGCGUGGGUAGCAAACAGGAUUAGAUACCCCGGUAGUC
rnacentral:rRNA from 1 species